rnacentral:rRNA from 1 species
UACGGAAGGUGCGAGCGUUAAUCGGAAUUACUGGGCGUAAAGCGCACGUAGGUGGUUUUAUAAGUCGGAUGUGAAAGCCCCGGGCUUAACCUGGGAAUUGCAUCUGAUACUGUCUGACUAGAGUAUGCUAGAGGGAAGUGGAAUUCCAGGUGUAGCGGUGAAAUGCGUAGAUAUCUGGAGGAACACCAAUGGCGAAGGCAACUUCCUGGGGCAAUACUGACACUGAUGUGCGAAAGCGUGGGGAGCAAACAGGAUUAGAAACCCCAGUAGUCC